GAUGAACGCUAGCGGGAGGCUUAAUACAUGCAAGUCGGACGGUGACAGGUCUUCGGACGCUGACGAGUGGCGAACGGGUGCGUAACGCGUACACAACCUACCUUUUACUGGGGGAUAGUUUUGGGAAACUGGGAGUAAUACCCCAUUCGUUUGAGCUGCGGCAUCGCGGUUCAAAGAAAGGUUUACUGGUGAGAGAUGGGUGUGCGUCCAAUUAGGUAGUUGGUAGGGUAACGGCCUACCAAGCCGACGAUUGGUAGCUGGUCUGAGAGGAUGAUCAGCCACACGGGCACUGAGACACGGGCCCGACUCCUACGGGAGGCAGCAGUAGGGAAUAUUGGUCAAUGGACGGAAGUCUGAACCAGCCAUCCCGCGUGCAGGAAGAAGGAUCUUGGUCUGUAAACUGCUUUUCUCAAGGAAGAGAGAUAGAGAUUAAUCUUUAGAGGACGGUACUUGAGGAAUAAGCACCGGCUAACUCCGUGCCAGCAGCCGCGGUAAU
rnacentral:rRNA from 1 species